GACGAACGCUGGCGGCGUGCUUAACACAUGCAAGUGGAGCGACGAACCAGGGCUUGCCCUGGGGCAGAGCCGCGAACGGGUGAGUAACACGUGGGUAACCCACCCCGAUGACCGGGACAACCCGAGGAAACUCGGGCUAAUACCGGAUGUGGUCGCUGUUCAUGAGGACAACGACUAAAGAUAGCUUCGGCCUUCGCAUCGGGACGGGCCCGCGGCCCAUUAGCUUGUUGGUGGGGUAAUGGCCUACCAAGGCGACGAUGGGUAGCUGGUCUGAGAGGACGAUCAGCCACACUGGGACUGAGACACGGCCCAGACUCCUACGGGAGGCAGCAGUGGGGAAUCUUGCGCAAUGCGCGAAAGCGUGACGCAGCAACGCCGCGUGGGGGAAGAAGGCCUUCGGGUUGUAAACCCCUUUCAGUUGGGACGAAGCUUCGAGGGUUAAUAGCCUUCUGGAGUGACGGUACCUUCAUAAGAAGCCCCGGCUAACUACGUGCCAGCCGCCGCCGUAACAC
rnacentral:rRNA from 1 species